AUGUUAAUCCAUCACAGGGAGUUUAUUAAAUGGCAAAACAAAAGCACCCAUGUUAUACAUUGCAUGCUUCUUUUGAUCGGAAUUGUCAUUGAUGGUUUGGCCUUUUGCUCGCACUUGGAUUUAAGUAAGAAUUCUUGCAUUGGCAGGCUAUACAUCUUUGUUGAGCCUGAUGUAGGAGGGUUGACUGCGCGUAUCGAAGGAAAAAUCGUGCGUCGGGACGGUUCGGCAUAA